rnacentral:snoRNA from 1 species
AUGGAAUUAGUGAUGAUUAUAAAAAUAAUUCUUCGUUUUAAUUUGCUUAAUUUGGACAUGAUAAAUCUCUUAUUACAGCCAUAAAAUCUGAGCUCC